GGCAGCAGUAGGGAAUCUUCCGCAAUGGACGAAAGUCUGACGGAGCAACGCCGCGUGAGUGAUGAAGGUUUUCGGAUCGUAAAGCUCUGUUGUUAGGGAAGAACAAGUACCGUUCGAAUAGGGCGGUACCUUGACGGUACCUAACCAGAAAGCCACGGCUAACUACGUGCCAGCAGCCGCGGUAAUACGUAGGUGGCAAGCGUUGUCCGGAAUUAUUGGGCGUAAAGGGCUCGCAGGCGGUUUCUUAAGUCUGAUGUGAAAGCCCCCGGCUCAACCGGGGAGGGUCAUUGGAAACUGGGGAACUUGAGUGCAGAAGAGGAGAGUGGAAUUCCACGUGUAGCGGUGAAAUGCGUAGAGAUGUGGAGGAACACCAGUGGCGAAGGCGACUCUCUGGUCUGUAACUGACGCUGAGGAGCGAAAGCGUGGGGAGCGAACAGGAUUAGAUACCCUGGUAGUCCACGCCGUAAACGAUGAGUGCUAAGUGUUAGGGGGUUUCCGCCCCUUAGUGCUGCAGCUAACGCAUUAAGCACUCCGCCUGGGGAGUACGGUCGCAAGACUGAAACUCAAAGGAAUUGACGGGGGCCCGCACAAGCGGUGGAGCAUGUGGUUUAAUUCGAAGCAACGCGAAGAACCUUACCAGGUCUUGACAUCCUCUGACAAUCCUAGAGAU
rnacentral:rRNA from 1 species